UGCGCUGGUGAGACCCACCUGCGGCGCGGUGUCCCCGCGGAGAGCAGUGACGGGCGGUGUCUCAGCCGUCGGUGUUGGGGCCGGUGCUGUUCAGCGCCUUUGUCAGUGACGGGGACAGCGGGAUCGAGGGCACCCCCAGCAAGUUUGCUGAUGACACCGAGCCCUGCGUGCGGUUGACACGCUGGAGGAAAGGGAUGCCAUCCAGAGGGACCUUGGCACAGCUGAGAGACGGGCUUGUGUGAACCUCAUGGAGUUCAACAGAGCGAAGCGCAAGCUUGUUUAGACUCCUGUUCAAAGUAGAAUUGUAGAAAACACCUCUGUUUAAGAACAUUAUACCCUAGACCCGAACAACAAGAUACCUCCAAUAGACAAAGCAACCUUCAAGCCCAGAACUUUGGACGAGCUCCAAGGACUAUAUGUAGUACCACGAAGAAGAUGACGGUGAGGAAAAAGGGCUCUCAAGGACCCCUGAUUCAAUUUCCAGAGGGGUGUGGUGGGGGCAGAACUGAGAAGGAUCUGGGGAGGGUGGAUGAGUCUGGGAUUGAAUGGACCAUACUGUAAGGUUGUAGAACCACUGCCUGGGUGCACAUGAGUGUCUGUGUAUUCCCCUGGGCCUGAGGGCUGUUAUUAAAAGACCUGCUCUUACCUAA